UACGAAGGGGGCUAGCGUUGCUCGGAAUCACUGGGCGUAAAGGGUGCGUAGGCGGGUCUUUUAAGUCAGGGGUGAAAUCCUGGAGCUCAACUCCAGAACUGCCUUUGAUACUGAAGAUCUUGAGUUCGGGAGAGGUGAGUGGAACUGCGAGUGUAGAGGUGAAAUUCGUAGAUAUUCGCAAGAACACCAGUGGCGAAGGCGGCUCACUGGCCCGAUACUGACGCUGGAGGCACGAAAGCGUGGGGAGCAAACAGG
rnacentral:rRNA from 1 species